rnacentral:rRNA from 1 species
CAGCCGCCGCGGGAAUACGUAGGGUGCGAGCGUUAAUCGGAAUUACUGGGCGUAAAGCGUGCGCAGGCGGUUGUGCAAGACAGAUGUGAAAUCCCCGAGCUUAACUUGGGAACUGCAUUUGUGACUGCACGGCUAGAGUGUGUCAGAGGGGGGUAGAAUUCCACGUGUGGCAGUGAAAUGCGUAGAUAUGUGGAGGAAUACCGAUGGCGAAGGCAGCUCCCUGGGAUAACACUGACGCUCACGCACGAAAGCGUGGGGAGCAAACAGGAUUAGAUACCCGCGUAGUCCCUGUCUCUUAUAC